rnacentral:rRNA from 1 species
UGCGUAGGCGGUUUAUUAAGUCAGUGGUGAAAGACGGUCGCUCAACGAUUGCAGUGCCAUUGAUACUGGUAGACUUGAGUGUGAUUGAGGUAGCUGGAAUGGAUAGUGUAGCGGUGAAAUGCAUAGAUAUCACACAGAACACCGAUUGCGAAGGCAUCUCACGAAUCCGCAAUUGACGCUGAGGCACGAAAGCGUGGGGAUCAAACAGGAUUAGAUACCCCUGUA